rnacentral:rRNA from 1 species
UGGGGAAUUUUGGACAAUGGGCGAAAGCCUGAUCCAGCAAUGCCGCGUGUGUGAAGAAGGCCUUCGGGUUGUAAAGCACUUUUGUCCGGAAAGAAAUCCUUGGCUCUAAUACAGUCGGGGGAUGACGGUACCGGAAGAAUAAGCACCGGCUAACUACGUGCCAGCAGCCGCGGUAAUACGUAGGGUGCAAGCGUUAAUCGGAAUUACUGGGCGUAAAGCGUGCGCAGGCGGUUUGCUAAGACCGAUGUGAAAUCCCCGGGCUCAACCUGGGAACUGCAUUGGUGACUGGCAGGCUAGAGUAUGGCAGAGGGGGGUAGAAUUCCACGUGUAGCAGUGAAAUGCGUAGAGAUGUGGAGGAAUACGAU